GUGGGCGCGCGGUCGAUCGAGCGAUCGGUUGGCGGCUCUUUCUCCUGCUCUGGCAUCCAGCUCUUGGGGCGCAGGCCCGGCCGCCGCGGCGCGCGCCCGGUGGCCGUUGGCGCUCGCGCCGCGUCUUUCUUCUCGUACGCAGAACUCGGGCGGCGGCCUAUGCGUUUGCGAUUCGACGAGGAGUCGUCCGGGUGGUCGGUGGUGGGGGGCAGUUGCUCCGCCCCGCUCCGGGGGAGGCGGCGGCGGCAGCGGGAUUUGGCGCGGCAGGGGAAGCGGGGGUGGCCGGCGCCGGCCUGGAGGCCUGGCGCCACCCUUCCGGGCCUGCACGGACCCAGUUGGGGGGCCAGGAGGGGGCCGGAGGAUGGUUGGUGGUGGGCUUUCUACUUUGCCUUUUUCUCCUCAUGCCGCCUUAGUGAGGGGCGGGAGCUCUGGCGGCAGCUCCGGGGAGGGGAGAAGAGCUCCAGAGUCGAAAGACCUGAGUUUGCCUCCGGGCCUAGCCACCAGCUGGCCGAGUGACCUUAGGCAAGUCACCCUGUAAUUUGUCUGCGCCUCAGUUUCCUCCUCUGCCUGUCAAUGUGUGUGGAAUUGAAAGCGCUUUGUAAACUACAAAGCGUUGGUGUACGUAAAGGAUGAUUAUUGUUUGUGAUGUUUUUUGAGUUGUAAGACAAUUUAACAAUUAUCCAGUUCUUGCAUUUGAACCUGAAAACCUUGGAUUGGAGUUAGAGGAUCUCAAACUCCCUGAAAUUGUAUGCAGAAAUUUGUGGGAAUGGUUAGUUUUGCGGAAUGAUGAUCUAUCGCUAGCAAGUUUUCAGUGGGGGAUGUGACACAUGAUUAUUUUAUGCCACAGGGAGGAAACUGAGGCCUAGAUGUCAUUUGGGACCCUUCACAACCAAUUUGAAGCCCCUGUUUGAGUCCCUGGGAUAUGUGAGCUGUUUCUAUGCAUAAUGGAUAUUCGGGGUAACCACACUCCCCUGCUUGGCUUCUACUUUGAAUUCCCUUUCACCGUGGGGUGCCUGAAGGGUGGCUGAUGCAUAUGGUACAAUGGCACCCAGUAUAAAGCAGCUACAAUUAGACGUGGAUGUGUUCUGUAGUAUCAAGAAGCUUAUUUAAUCUUUGGCCCAGCAACUCUUUGUUUUGUGCUGCUUGUACUGGUGCCUGACUACGUUUUUGACUCUUUGACCAUUUUCCACAACCAUGGUUGCCAUCCAUUACUUGCUCCUACUUUUUAUUCCUAGUCUGUAUGGUUGGUAGUGAAAAGGCUUAUUUUUAAAUGGUGCUGCCAAGCCUAGCUAAUUAAUGGUGUGUGUGGAUUUUUAGCAAGUGGGCUCACUGGAACAGACUGAACCAGGCUUGCAAUUCCUGAAGAUGUUUGGGGUUUUUUAUUAACUGAAGGUUAACAUUGUCUGGAGAGUUUUGUUAGAUCUCCUGCAGAACCUCAAAAUCGGUAGAUUUGGAAGUGAUUCAAAGCUUAACUUUUUCCUAGCCUGCCUUGUAUUCAAAUUGCUUGCAAUUGUGAUACUAAGAUGGCCAAAAUGCCACGUUUUGCUUCUUUGUUAAUUGUCAGCUGCUUUUAUCAAAUUCCAGGCCAUUAUCCAGCAAGCACUAAAAAUGUUUGAACAGUUGGAUUUCAAACAUUUUCAUUUUGUGGAGUGGUGCUUACCAAGUGGUACAGCUCUAAGCAAGUGAACACAAACACAUUUUAAGUGUAUUUUGUCUGAUUAGAUGUUAGCCAAUUAUACUAUUUCAUUCAAAUGUCUGAAAAAAUCAGUUGACUAUUCCUUUUACCUAAAGAGCAGAGACAAAUAAUCUCACUUCCAGAGAAAUGACUGUUUUGAAGAAAAAUGUGUUGGUCUUUUAGCUCUUUUAUAAGUAAAUCUGGAUGUACCUCAAAAGAAUCUUAAGACUGUGGUGAUAAGAUGCUUUCCUCUGAAGAAAAGAGGCAGAAGACAACUGGAACUCAAAGCUUGAAAUUCUUUGUUAAAACAGUAUGUCCAGGAUUGAAGGUUGAAAAAUGUUUCACUACAGUGUUCUGCAAUAGUUCGAGCAGAUGUCUUUCAUUGUAGCUGCAGCUAUGGACUCCAGAUUUCUAAAUUUUCAAGAACUGGACCUGAAACCUGAAAGAGCUUGUCAGGAUGUGGCAGGAACACUGGAGGUAGAUUAUUUUUUAUUUUUCAAUUUUGGGACUGUUGACCUUGCUGUGAGAAGAAAGGCAACGACUGAGCAAGCACUGCCACCAGCGCUGUUACUGGGAAUUAGAAGACAUGAGUUUUUGUCUAGAUCCUCAGUGCAAAUUGAGGAUGCUUCAUCCAAAGUGAAUUACGUCCUGUGCCUCCUGAUUGCUGAGUGUUCACCUGGACCUUCUGACUACCUUCCUUCUGCUAUUCCAUCAGCCUACAGAUCUGGUACCUGGAUUUUUGCCCAUGGUGAUUCCUACCACCUUACUACUGAAGAAGAUACCAUUCCAGUGGACCACUGUGACCCAAGAGACAUUCAGCCAUUAUGAUGUGGCCUUUUACCUCCACUCCUGUCCUGUUCUACCCAGCACAGCCCUUUGUAGUGAAGUCAGAGUCCUUGAGCCAAACAGCUGAAGCUAUUUUAUCACAACAAAGACCUAGUUUGUUCUAUGAGUGUGCAUUUCAUUUCUUCAAUUAAAGCCUUCAGAGAGACACAAUAAAUUUGGACCAGGGGAUUUUUAGUUAUUAAUGCUAUCUGAAGAAAAGCAACAUGAGAACAGCAUUGGGCUAUACCCCACAAUUGCAAAUGAUGAAGUUCAUGAACUAUCUAGGAUACCAUCAAGGUCACUGGACCCUGUUCUUUUUCUACUUCAAAUGUAUAGUCACCUGAAUGAGAAAGCAGAUAUUCUCAUAUCCAACCCAAUGGGAUCAAAACAAAGGCACAGUGAACUCAUAGCAUCAUCUUUGGGAUUACUCAGGAAUCAGGACUUUUCACACAAAUGUAAGAAACUCUACCAAGGAAUCCCUUUACCUAACAGCAUCUCACAAGGCUCCAAUCAGAUGUCAGAAAAGGCCUCUUGAUACAUCAAGCAUUUUGUGAACAACUUAUUCUUAGAUCAAUGGUUUUCCAAAGGCUUUGUGGCCGUGAAGCCCUUUGAAUGAAAAUUAUGUGGAAGCCCAGAGUAAAAAAUGAAGCUGCUCUGGAUGAAGCAGUGAAGCAGGCAUAGGGGCCUGAAGCCUGCCACAGCAUCUUCCUUUACUACCAUGGUGACACCUAAGGGGACUUCCUUGCAACACCUAGAACUCUUCAGAACACAGUUUGAAAACCACUGCCCUAGACAGCAAUAUGUUUGACCUAAAUGACAUUCUGAUCUUUUUCUGUACCUCCACUCAACACAAUCCAUGUUCAGUCAAUGCUGAAUAUUGUUAGGAAUACUGUGUGCAAACUUAGAAAAGUGAAAGAUGGGCAUGUCUUUGCCCCCCAAAAUAGUCAUAUGGGCUGAAAGUGGUGUCAAGUGAACCUAGAUCAACAGCCCUCUACCCCAGAUGGACUUCCAGUGACUGGAAUCGGAUAUAGCCAGAGAGCAGUUCUGUGCACCCUACACUGACAAACCCCCUUAACCAACUUCAUUCACAAACAAGAUGUUCUAGUGGUAUUUGAAGUACAUGAUUUUGAAGUCUUGAUUCUCCGUGGAUACCAGAAUUGCCAGCAAGCUGGUAUUGAAGGUGGUGACUUAUUGGACCUAUUAGACCUAUAUUAGACCAACCUGUACAUUUGAGCUCUCAUCAGCCAUGGUACUCUACUUCAUGUGCAAGAGAUAGCCAUUAACUAUGAAAGCAGAAUUCAUAUGCUGCCAACAUUUCCCAAAGGGGUUCAGUACCUGUUUAUCACUCAUCUUUUCAAACUACAAGUCACUGUAUUACUCAACUAGUGGCAGUUACACUGUUGCUUGGGGAGUUUUGUUUUCAGUUUUUCUAUCAUUUCCAAGAUAAAUGAGCUCGUAACCUUAAACAAAAGUCCCAAAAAAAUCCUCCUUCAGUGGCAUAUCUGCCUAUUCACCAGUAUCAUGACUACUCAGCUCUAACUACAUGUAACAGCUGAUCCUUAAGAGAUAAUCUUGGACCAUCCCAUCUCAUAAAUGUGAUUUAAAGUGUAACCAUUGGAAAAUUUCUUCUAGCCAGUAAGAGAUGUUUUUUUAAGAUGAGUCUUUUGAUGUCUGAUGCCAUCAACUAUAGGUGGUAGGCAUAGUUGGAGGCAGACUCUUUGGACAGGCCAUGAGUGGUUACUUGCUCUGGCAUUUAAAAUAGUUUAUUGCCUACAUUUUUGCUGGAAACAUUGACUGACUUGAAAAAAAAAAAUCUACAAAGACUGCAGCUAAAGAUUUUGCUAGUAGACUCAAGAGCCUCUGUCCUUGUGGAUGUUACAGUGGAAUCACAUCUGUCUCAAUACUGUCGUUUUACACUGAUUCAGAGUCGCCGACUUCAUUCCUUGCCAUGAGAUACUCUCAGGCAUUAAGACAACCUGUUUCUGCAGGAAGGAUUCAAUUCAUAAAGUCUCAGACCAUGUUGAAACAAGGAGACUUCAUGUGUGUCAUGAGAAAAUCUCAUUCCUUUAUGUCAUAGUCAAUUUAAGGGCCAGCUAUCCUGAGCUACUCUAAUGAAUGCACUGGUAAAACAUUGGGAAUGGUUUCUUUAUAUCCUUGUCUCUUAUCUUCUAAACUAAUAGUAAUUACAUGACUGAUUCUACAUGUCGUCAAAUGAGGCCUAGGUCUGGUUCCUCUAGACUGCUAACCUUCAACAAAUUAAAAUCUGGCCUGGUUAUAUAUACAAAUGUUAUUUGUAAAAGAAGAAAUUACCUUCAAGCUCAAUUUUCUACCUUCAAGUUGUCGGCUUUUUUUCCCUCUGUUUUUUCCUGUACUUUACAGGAAAAGACAUUGAUCUGUACUGCCAGUCAUUGCCUCCUUAGAUGAGUUUAAGGAUGAUCAUCUGCUCGAGGGUCUUUAAUGUACACUGAAUAUAAGACUUGGUGAUUGGAAAAACAGUAAGCCUAAAACAAACCUAGGAGUUUGCCUACUAUCUCCAUGCCUCAAAUCUCAUCUAAAUCUUUCAGCAGCACCAUUCAACCAAUGUGAGGCCUUGUUUGUAAGAUGUUUCUCAGAGAUGGGCUAAGUUAACAGAAGGUGAACACUGAUUACCAAAGAAAGUAGGGCCAACUUUGACAAACAUGGCUCUGCUGACCCCUGUGGCUCCCAGAUGUAGCAUAGACUCCUAAACAGAACCUCAAGUCUGGAUUGAGAAUAUGGCCGCCUCCUGAGCUGAAAGUUCUCGGGCAGAUGAGCAGAAAAAUGAAAGCUGGUGUACCUGACGGGCCCUUUCAGAUUGGAAAAUUAUAUCCAGAGUAACCCCUAUGGAUUAACCCUGAAGUACCAAGGGUAAAACUAAUUUACAGAGCUGCAUUAUUAAUCUUCCUGUUCCUCCAGAUCAUAGCCUGGCUAUUGGUAUGUCUGGCCCUACUGAAGGUACCUUGUUUAUUUACCCGACUCAGCUCUUGCCUGCCUUUUCUGACAUGUUGCCGCAAUCAGACUGACCUUGAAAAGACUGUAGCCGAUUUUAGCCUAUCUUGUGCCUAACUCCACCAAGGAUUUUUGAAUAGAAGCAACCCACACCUCACCCCACCAGGACAUAAUGUUCACAACAGGAGUGACCAUGCUUUACACUCCUUGACCAGCAGCUUUUUAAAGAUUUUAAGUAUAGAAUGAGCUUCUAUGCUUGCCUACUGUUUGAUCAUUUUCAUCACCUAGGACCUCACCUAUCCUAUGUGGAAGGAGCACAGCAGAUCAAAAGCAGUGUCUAUUUCUCUCUUCUACAGUUAAUACAGAGAUGAGUCUGAUUCAUCAGUACUCAUAGAAAUGUACCGGUUCAACUUGGCAAAAGACUUAAGGGAACACAAGAAAAGUUUUCUGUUGAACUUAAAAUUUACCACUGACUCAAAUAACCUCACAGAACUUUUUGCCAGUGAAAGGAAGUUGUCUUGCUUCACAUCAGUGGAUGGUUGGGCUCUCAGACUCAUGAUCACUGAGUUUGCUUAUGUUGAAACUCUAUGGUAUCAUCCAAAGUAUGCUAUUGGACAUGAUUGUUAUUCCAUUCAAAUGGACUGCAGACUUCCUGCGAACGGGACAAACUUAUCCCUCAUGGUGUGUGUGUUGUUGUUGUUUUUCCUUAAGAAUACGUUUAUUACCAAGGAAGAAACAAUGCCAGCUGUUACCAUUCAACUUCAAGAGCAGAGGUUAAGCUUUUUCCUGUGUCUCAUCUUAUCCUGGACAUCAGUUGUUUUUCAUUGCCCAGCAUCUGUUCCAUCUCAUUGUAAGAACUUGCUGAUGUUUCUUGGGACCACGUCUUCCUGUUUUUAGUCCACGUGGUUUGAAGAGUCUGACCCAACCUUGGGCUUCGUGUAAUUCGGACCUCAUCAAUCAGCAAAUCCCAUCUCCUUGACCAUAGUGAUUGGUUCAGGAAUGGUUGUGUGAUUCAAGUUGGUCCAGUGAUACUCAACCCUAGGAGUUUUACUAAACUGUGGAGGAGGAGAAGCUCUCUUUAUUGAGGUGCUUUAGCUUUGUAGAAUGAAAAACUCAAACCAACAGGGCCUACCAUAUUGAAUGAACCAGUCAAAGAAUGAAGCCAGUGCAGAGGAAAGCAGAGCCAAAAUAUAGAGAGACUUGAAUCCUGAUGACAACAUUUGUGCCCCUGGAUCCAACCGUGCCUGAAGCUAGUAUAUCCCCUGGACUUUUCAGUUAUGUGAACCAAUAAAUACCGUUUUUUGCUUAAGUUA